GGAUUAGGCAUGCAAGUCGAACGCGAAAGUCCCUUCGGGGGCGAGUAGAGUGGCGAACGGGUGAGUAAUGCAUGAAUGACCUACCCAGAUGACGGGGACAACCAUUCGAAAGGAUGGCUAAUACCGGAUGUGAUCGGCGUCUCGAGGGGCGCCGAUGAAAGCUAGCCUCUGACUCAAGCUGGCGCAUCUGGAGGGGUUCAUGUGCUAUUAGCUUGUUGGUGGGGUAACGGCCUACCAAGGCUUUGAUGGCUAGCCGGCCUGAGAGGGUGUCCGGCCACACUGGGACUGAGACACUGCCCAGACUCCUACGGGAGGCUACAGUCGAGAAUCUUCCACCAAUGCGCGAAAGCGUGAUGGAGCGACGCCGCGUGGACGAUGAAGGCCUUCGGGUCGUAAAGUCCUGUUGUGAGGGCGUAAUCCCUCAGGGUGAAUAGCCCUUGAGGUUGAACUCCCUCACGAGGAAGCACCGGCUAAAUUCGUGCCAGCAGCCGCGGUAAUACGAAUGGUGCGAGCGUUGUUCGGAAUCACUGGGCAUAAAGAGCACGUAGGCGGUCCGGUCAGUCAGCUGUGAAAUCCCCCGGCUCAACCGAGGAACUGCAGCUGAUACUACCGGUCUAGAGUGCGGGAGGGGAGAGCGGAAUUCCUGGUGGAGCGGUGAUAUGUGUAGAUAUCAGGAGGAACGCCGGAGGCGAAAGCGGCUCUCUGGCCCGCAACUGACGCUGAGGUGCGAAAGCUAGGGGAGCGAACAGGAUUAGAUACCCUGGUAGUCCUAGCCGUAAACGAUGGGCACUAAGUAGAGGGGUUUU
rnacentral:rRNA from 1 species